rnacentral:rRNA from 1 species
CACACGGAAUUCUUGNGCAAUGGGCGAAAGCCUGAACCANCNACGCCGCGUCAGGGAUGAAGGCCUUCGGGUUGUAAACCUCUUUUCUUGGGGAAGAAUUUUGNCGGUACCNAAGGAAUANGCCUCGGCCAAUUACGUGCCAGCAGCCGCGGUAUUACUCCGUG